GGGAUUGUAUUUCAAUUGGUUAUAGUACCUCCCUGUCAAGAUGGAAGUUGCGGGUUUGAGCCCCGUCAGUCUCG
rnacentral:tRNA from 1 species